CAAGUUCAACAAAUGGAAUACAAGAUGCUGUGGGAUGAAUUAACUGAAUCCCCUCCAGCCGCAGGCUCAAUCAGAACCAAGGCAAAAUUUCUCUGAAGACAUUUUUCUGAGAACAUUUCUGAGGUGUCUCUUUUUCACAUGCCCCUAGAAUAACAAGGCCACUCUGCAGAAUUCUCUCAGCAUAUUGCCUGCCGUUUUCUGUGGCAGCUGCCAUUCCACACACCUCUCUUUCACACACCCUCUAUCAGCGUCCCAGAAUGACUCUAACUUCAGGGCAUCAUGGUGGAUACAAAAUGGCGGCCCCAUUACCACCACAGUUGCCGCUACCACUUGCAGAGAUAGCAAAAUUAAAAAUUAGGUUUAAACAAAGGAAGAAGCUGUGCUAAUGGUGAGCCUCGCCUUUGAGAAACUCUUUGAGAAUGUCUCCUCUCUGGCAGAGAAGUUUGGUGAAAUGUUCCCCGCAAUUUCUCUCUUCCACAAACAGGACUUCAUGAGGCCUUUUAUUCUGCACUUGUCUCGUCUCAUGGCUCUUGUCAGCACCUUCAGCAGGUGGCCCAAUCUCUUCUGCGAUGUGACUCAUUUCCCCUCAGUUGCCAAGUUCUCUAGACUUGUGGGCUCACAGGCCUUCUUGAACAUUCAUGUAUAGAAAAUACUGUAAUUAAUAUACUUCCCUCUCUUUUUAUUCCAGCUUCCCUGAGGUUAAGUAGACUCUACUGCCAAUAGAUUUAUGCAUUUCAAUGUGUGAUUAGAAACAGAAUUAAUCUUAUUUAGGUUGAGGGGGAAAAAAUCAACAAUUGAACAACCUAAUCAAAGCAUUUAAAGAACUGCCGGAUUGUAUAUUAUAAAUCAUAACAUAAUUAGAACUGAAUUGAUUUUUCCAUUAACAUGAAAUUAAGACUAAUUUCCUCAUGCUAUAUUUACUCUAAUAUUCCCCAGAUGCAAAUGUGGAGUCGUAAAAUGUUUAGUAAAAAUGAUCUUCUAAUUGUUUCCUGGGUUGAGCCAUUACAUCAUCACUUUGAUUUCUUCUUUGAUGCUUCUAAACAAUGCUUCUCAUCCUUUGUCUUUUCCUGACAGUGCAGUAAAGAGCAACCUUCAAAUCCUGAAGACAUUACAGCACGGCUGAGAGAAAUAUCAUCCACUCCCCCUCAAAAUUGCUUGCUUAGGAAACAAUGUAAGUAAGGAUAUCAAUUUAAGUUAAUCCGCUUGAUUUCAUUUUAUACAAACAAGAGGCCUUCUGCUUUCCUCCUCAGCCAAUGGUUCAUAUACCACAGUGGUGGGGAACCCAUGGCCUAAUGGCUCAUUUAGGCCCACCAAGCAGCUCUAUUUGGCACACAGUGUUAUCUCAUCUAUUUAUUUUAUAAGAUGUCUUACCCACCUUUCACCAUAAGGUCUCAGGGGUAGGUUACUUCAGCACAGGACACAGUUAUAAAAACAGAUAAAACAAAGUAAAACUGGUUACUCUAGCCACUCUGGGCAGCUUCCAACAAAUUCAAACACAAUAUGACAUCAUUCAUUAAAAACUUCCCUUCAGAUGUCUUCUAAAAGUCAGAUAGUUGUCUAUCUGUUUGACAUCUGAUGGGAGGGCGUUCCACAGGGAGGGCACCACUGCUGAGAAGGCCCUGGGCCUGCUUCCCUGUAACUUCGCUUCUCUCUUCUUCUUUUUUUCUUUUUUUUUGAGCUGCAUCAUAUAUUUAUUUAUAAGUGCACAUAUUUGAUAAGACACACUUUCCAGAAGGGGAAAGGUUUAAUUAGAAAUAUCCCCAUGAGAUGUUCGAAUCGCAGGGCCAAACUGCAUGUGACAUGUAGUUGUGUGCCUCUUUCCCCUAGUGGUUUGUGUGGUGGUUGUUUUUUUAUUUUUUGUUUUUUUAAGAUAUUUAUUAAGGUUUUCAAGAUAUUACAAAAAAUAAAGAUAAAAAAAAAAAUACAAAAUAAAAAUGAUUAAAAACAACACAAUCUUUCCAUUACUUAUUUUUCAUUAGCUUGUUUCCCGGACCUCCUCACGCCUCCCUUUUGCUGAACCAACAAACUGAACUGGAAUACAGUUUGUUUAUCCUAGUCUUUAAUCUUAAAAUAUUGUAACAUUAGAUUUUUACCUGUUAAUAAUCCAUUUUUCAUAUUCCCUUAUGGUAUUUCAGCUAAAAACCACUUAAUUUCUAUCCAACAUCAUUCUAACAUUCAUUAAUUUUGCAAUAUUUCUGUAAGUAGUCUUUAAAUUUCUUCCAAUCCUCUUCCACCGACUCUUCUCCCUGGUCUCGGAUUCUGCCAGUCAUUUCCGCCAAUUCCAUAUAGUCAAUCACCUUCAUCUGCCAUUCUUCCAGAGUGGGUAGAUCUUGUGUCUUCCAAUACUUUGCGAUGAGUAUUCUUGCUGCUGUUGUGGCAUACAUGAAAAAAGUUCUAUCCUUCUUUGGCACCGAUUGGCCGACUAUGCCCAGGAGAAAGGCCUCUGGUUUCUUCAAGAAAGUAUAUUUAAAUACUUUUUUCAAUUCAUUAUAGAUCAUCUCCCAGAAAGCCUUAAUCCUUGGGCACGUCCACCAAAGGUGAAAGAAUGUACCUUCAGUUUCUUUACAUUUCCAACAUUUAUUAUCGGGCAAAUGAUAGAUUUUUGCAAGCUUGACUGGGGUCAUGUACCACCUGUAUACCAUUUUCAUAAUAUUCUCUCUUAAGGCAUUACAUGUCGUAAACUUCAUACCUGUGGUCCAUAACUUCGCUUCUCGCCCUCAGAGCUAGACCUGUGUCUGUGCUGGAUGAUGGAGGUGGAGAUGCACCAUAAUGUACAUAAUAAUGUACCUUGACUGUCAAAGAGUAGGAUAAAGAGCUGCAUCUUAAGCAUACAGUGGAAGCUGUACAAGGAAAAUGCUAGGUGUGUCCCUGCGUGAGGGAGUUCCACAGCUUAGGAGCUGUCACAGAGAAAGCCUGCUCCCAGGUCUCCAUUCACUACAUUUUCAAGGUUGGUGGAACUACCAAGAGAGGCCCCUGUGCCAAUCUUAACACCACAGUAGGAUAGAUGUGGUAGGUGCCCUCAGGGCCAGCCUCAAUGCCUGGAAUCCUUGAUCAGCUGCCUAGGCAUAAAGUACUCAGGUAGGGUCCUCUGCCAAUGCAUUCCCUGGGGUUCCUUUAAUUUUGUUUUCCUGGCCCAUCACCCUGAGCAGCAACAGGUGGAUAGAUGAUGUACAUUUCCUCCACUGCUAAGGAUGAGGGCCAAAUUCAUUCAGUUUGAAUUUCACAGCGGACCAACCCAAAUCAACAUUCCCAAACUUGCUUGCAGAUCAGAAUGCAGCUAUCGGUCAAAUUAUGCUCUUCUACAUUUUAAGCAAUGUACCUUCAGUCCCCCAAAACGUGCACACAUGGAUUUUGCUGAAAACGUGUACAAAAGGCAACUUUAGGAGGAAACUGCAUUGGGGAAAUGUGUAGUUUAAUGGAAGAACAUGUACAAAAUGCAUACAAUGUACAUGAAGAUUUUUCAUGCAUUCUUUUGGAAACUCUGUGAAAAAUAGGAUGGAGCGUAACUACAACUGAGUAUUAGCAAGGGUGGCACAGAACGGACUUAGGCUGAUCCACCCAUCUCUACCCAUAACCUAGCCUUGCUCUGGAGCAUUGGUGUGGGCAUGGGGGGGACAGAAUACAUUUAUUUAGCCAGGCAAUGCUGCUUCAAUCACUGCCACUGCAGCAGUGUAACCCUACCAAGUUCUGCUAAUGAAGGAGGGACCUCACCAGAGGACAUUUCACCCAGGGCCCCCUCAAAUCUGGAGUUGGUCCUCAGUACUCAGUGGGUGGCGCUGUGGUUUAAACCACUGCGCCACUUGGACUUGCCGUUUGGAAGGUCGGUGGUUCGAAUCCCCACAACUGGGUGAGCUCCCGUUAAUUGGUCCCAGCUCCUGCCUACCUAACAGUUCGAAAGCACGCAGUGCAAGUAGAUAAAUAGGUACCACUCCAACGGGAAGGUAAACGCCGUUUUCAUGCGCUACUCUGGCUUUGCCAGAAGUGGCUUAGUCAUGCUGGCCACAUGACCCGGAAAAACUGUCUGUGGAAGAAGACAAAUGCCAGCUCCCUUGGCCUGUAAAGCAAGAUGAGCGCCGCAACCUCAGAGUCGUUCGUGACUGGACUUAACGGUCAGGGGUCCCUUUACCUUUACUGGAGCAGUGGGGUGCCAUUUGCUGUUCCAACUCAGGUCAAUAAGAUGUAUUGGGCUGAAUUUGCUCCUACAGGAGGGAGCAAUGGCCACCAACAUGGAUGGCUUUAACAGUUUCGUAGAGGAUAAGCCUAUCAAUAGCAACUAGCCACAAAGGCUGUACUCUGCCUCCACAGUCAGAGGUAAUAAUGCUUCUGAAUACCAGUUGCUGGAAACCAUGGGAAGAGGGAGUGCUCUUGUGCUCAGGUCCUGCUUGUUAGUUUCCCACAGUCAUCUGGGUGGCCACAGUGAGAACAGGAUGCUGGACUAGAUGGGCCAUUGGCUCUUCUUAUGUUCUUACGACUGUCCAAAUGGUUAUUGUACAAACUGUGGCUUGCACCAGCUUGAUGGACAGCAGAAGCCCCACCCAACAAUGAGAGCAGCGUUUCCCAAACUCAGGUCUCCCGCUGUGUUCGGACUACGAUUCCCAUCAUCCCUGACCACUGGUUCUGCUAGCUAGGGGUGAUGGGAGUUGUAGUCCAAAAACAGCCGGCCACUCAAGUUUGGGAUAUACUGAUUUAGAGGAAGCACCACAGCUCAGUGGUGGAGCAUCUGCUCUUCACGUAGAAGUCUCAGGUUCAAUCAGCAGCAUCUCUGAGUAGGACUGGAUGAGACCCCCCCUCCCUGAAAUCCUAGAGCAGCGGUUCUCAACCUGUGGGUCCCCAGAUGUUGCUGGACUACAACUCCCAUCAUCCCUGAGCUCUGGCUUUGCUAGCUAGGGGUGAUGGGAGUUGUAGUUCAACAACAUCUGGGGACCCACAGGUUGAGAAAGGCUGUCCUAGAGAGACACUGCCAGUCAGUUUAGGCAUAACUGAACUAGGUUGGUCUGACUCCGGAUAAGGAAGCUUCCUGCAUUCCUAUGUUCUUAACACUCAGUUCAUCUUCAAAAUAAAUAAGUGAAAUGAAAGCUCUUUGUCGCGCUGAGAAAUUCCUCUGCUAACCCUUCUCCUCAUUCUCCAUGCAGUGUUACAUUCACUGCCUUAGGCUCUUCCUUUGCCUUCUUCUGAUGUGAAGGGGUUUUUUUUUUUUAAUUCUUGGAGCAUAUGGCUGGGGAAAUUGAGCGCUGAGACGCUACCUCACUCGAGCACGGACGCAAUCAGAUUUCUUGGGCUGUAAUUUCAUUUGCUCCAAAGGCCGCCCUUAAUCAGCAAGGCAAGUUUUUUAACCAACCAGGAUGGUUCCCUCCCCGCUUUUUGUCAGCAUAAUGCGCUCUUGACCUUGAGUGCUAAUUGGAUCUAAGUGCCCAGUGACCAACCCCAGGGAGCCUCCGUGCCUCAAGACCACAGGAACGUAUAAAGUAACUUGAUGUAAAUAUUUAAAAUAACAUGAUCGCCCUUUGCCGCAGGUAGAAGGAAAUGAGAGAACAGAGAUGGUGCAACUUUUAUAAGGAUAAUACAAGCUUGAGGAGAAAAGGGGGAAGGCGGUGGGGGGAGGACAAGUGAAAGUUGCAUGGUUUUAUCCCCAUGGAGGAUCAAUCCAUUUUAAAUAGAUUUAUACCUGGAAUUUGGUGGUCCUGACCCAUUUGGAUUUUGUUGGCAACUGAGCCUGGAUAGCUCAGUUGGUCAGAGCAUGGUGCUGAUAAAACCAAGGCUGCAGGUUCGAUCCCCGCAAGGGACAGCUGCAUAUUCCUGUAUUGCAAGGGGUUGGACUAAAUGAUCCUCAGGGUCUCUUCCAGCUCUAUGAUUCUAUGAAAGGGAAUCACUCUAGCCACCGAUCAGCUGAUGGGCAUCUUCAGGAGCCACACUCCCACGUGAGUCAUGUGACCCUCGUGAGAUCACACACCGGCCCCCAAAAGCACUAAUGUGAUUAUUAGGGAAACUUGCAUAAAAUGUCUGUGUUAAGAGAAAAUACUGAUGAAUUUUCAUGAGGACUGGGUUUUUUUAGAAAAAAAGAAAUUGCAAACUGAUGUGGAAAUGCGGAGAAUGGAAUUUAAGGUUAGAAAAUGAAAAAUGGAGAGAAACCCAAACUGACAAAUUCGCCAAUCCCUAGCUGGCAAUUUCAAUUCCUAAGAGCAAAACGACAAGACUUUCAUCCCAAACCAGCUCUAGAUAUGCUUAGUUAUUUUAGUUAGUUAGUUAGUUAGUUAGUUAGUUAGUGUGUGUUAUGGCACAAGGGGUGGUGGGGCCAGGUGAUAUAACACCGGUCUUGAAAGACCUACGUUGGCUCCCAGUACGUUUCCGAGCACAAUUCAAAGUGUUGGUGCUGACCUCUAAAGCCCUAAACGGCCUCGGUCCAGUAUAUCUGAAGGAGCGUCUCCACCCCCAUCUUUCUACCCGGACACUGAGGUCCAGCACCGAGGGCCUUCUGGCGGUUCCCUCACUGCGAGAAGCCAAGUUACAGGGAACCCAGGCAGAGGGCCUUCUCAGUAGUGGCACCCACCCUGUGGAACACCCUCCCACCAGAUGUCAAAGAGAGCAACAACUACCAGACUUUUAGAAGACAUCUGAAGGCAGCCCUGUUUAGGGAAGCUUUUAAUGUUUGAUGUAUUACAGUAUUUUAAUAUUUUUUUGGAAGCCGCCCAGAGUGGCUGGGGUAUAAAUAAUAAAUUAUUAUUAUUAUUAUUAUUAUUAUUAUUAUUAUUAUUAUUGGAAUACAGGUGAUCCUUCGCACUCUCCCCUCCUGUGGUUCUAAGCAUGAGAGAAGAAGAGUAUCUGCACAGAGCGUCAGUGAAUCACCUUAUUUGUCAAGGCCGUAAGUCAUAACAUCUGUAGAAAACCAUAAAAACAAAAUAAAAUUUACAAUUCGGUGA